rnacentral:rRNA from 1 species
AUGUACCACAAAGUCAUAUCUAACAACUUCUCAUUACUACAGCUGAUACACGGUUUUGAGGACGCCCCCAGAAAGCUGAUUGAUCAUCUCUCAGAGUCAUAUGAUAAUCAGGCAGCUAAAUCAUUCUUCUUGGCUGGCUGGUGCGGCGAAGGUGUAGGAGCCUCUGCUGUUCUUAAGGCCACAGCCAAACUCCUGAAAUCGAGAAGAAGUGACCCUGACAGAAGAAAGCAUUUUGGCAAAAUUAUCCAUGUAGACUGCUCUCUAUGGAAAAGUAGAAGAUCCUUGCAGAGGGCAAUCGUGGAGGAGUUAAAUCUUGGCCAUUUACUGCCCAUGUUUGAUAAGGAGGAUGAGGAUGAUGAUUUUAGAGGGAUAAAGAUCGGCUCUAGACUAGAGAUACCACGCAUCGGAAGUGAGAUCAACGCUUCUCUAAGAAAUGAAAGAUUUCUGAUGAUUUUUCAUUAUGGGGGAGAAGAAGUCAUUGAUCUAGCAGAGUGUGGCAUUCCUAAUCCUGAAUUUGGGACAUAUGCUUUAGGGCAACUGUUAUGGAGUGGUUAUGGAAGACUUCAACUCUCAGAGAGAAAAGACAAGUUAAAGUUAAGUUCUGCAUAUUUCAAAGUAAUUCGUUUAUCUCAUGUGGGCAACCUAAACGUGGAUGGUAUAUUGCUUCAUUCAUUGCGGGAAGAAGCCGCUGAAGUGAUUGGUUUCACCGGCUUGGAUGACAUCAACCCAACAAUAGUUUUGGAUUGCUUCUCGUACUCACUGUUCCUGACAGAGCAACUACGCGGAAUGCCUAGAAGCAUCUAUGAUAUCGAUGCACAGGCCGAGCUUAAGAAAAGAUUCCAGAAUCUGAAAAUAAGAAAGCCAAUACUCGGAAAACCUUUCAGUCUUGACUUUGCUUGGGAUACGCAUGUUUGCAACUACUGGAUAUGUGAUGGGGUCCUUCAAGGGGACAGAGCCUACGAGGUUGGCAGUGCAUUGUAUGAAGUGAUACUUCGGAUGUUGUGUUAUCCAUCUAACAGAACACAACUAUUGACACGUUGUUUCGAUCAACAAAGAUUUAACCGCUGGAUUUUAAUCUCCUCCAACCAACUAGGGGCACAAGAUAUCUCAACUAUUCCUGUCAUUACAUCAUCAUGUUUCCUAACAUCGGGGGGAGAUUCUCAACUACAACUACCAAAUGACCUUUUUGUAUUAGCCAGCAACCUCCACGUGCUAAAACUCUGCAAGUGCAGCUUUGAUUUUGUAUCCCCUCCUUUCCGAUCUUGUCACAACCUAAGAUUCCUUUAUCUUCACCAUUGCACAAAUACAAGGGAGGAUCAAGGUGGAGGGCCAUGUUUCCCAGAUCUGUUGGUGCUUGACAUACGCUUCACGGAGUUUGUCUUGCUGUCAAAGAUGAUAGAUUUGAUGACCAAUCUUAGGGAGGUAAAUACCAAGGGUGUCUCGUGGAGGUAUGUAAGUCAAGCAUGGGAAAAGCUACAGAACAUUCACAAGCUCCGGGUAACCGAAUCCUCAGAUGUGAUCAUGAUGGACACAUGCUCUUCAGUAGAUAUGAUGAAUAUGGAGCUCCUUGACUUGUCUGGUAACGUUCAUUUGGCAUCAUUGCCGGAAAUGACAACGGCACGGUACUUGAAGAUGCUAGUUCUUGAUGGUUGUUCCAGCUUGCAGCAGGUUGUAUUCGGAGGAGCCCCUCCACUGCUCGAGAGUUUUAGCUUCGAUGGUUAUGGCCCAGCAGAGAAGUGGAUACAUCCCAUACAAUUGCCAGAAAAAGAACUGUGUCCCAAGUCCCGCAACGUCCCAGAAGCCAAGGUGAGAAGGAUCUCCCUAGAGGGUUGUGCUCGAUUGUGCAACGUGUUCUUGCAUGCAUUGCCCAAUCUUGAGGAGCUGGACCUUUCUAGCACAGCCAUUAAAACACUUGACCUCGGUGCAAUGGAUGUUGCACGGCUCAAGAAGCUAUUCAUGUUGGGUUGUGAGCAACUCCGUAGCCUACUCUGGGAUGGAAGAAACCCUUCACUGGAAGUUCUACAUGUAGACACUCGUGGGAAGACAAGACCAAUGAUCCACUGUGGAGAACAGAGGCCCUCUGUCUUUGAGGCACACAUGGCUUUUACAAAUGGAAGGUUCAUUUGGUCUGUCAUAAAGGGACUCGAUCGGUAUGACCCCAAGGUGCACCUCCAUAUUUCUACUAUGAUCCAGAGCCAAGUCAACAUCACCAAAAGUAUUGAGGAUAUUGGCACUACCCUAGAGGGUUUGGUUCCCGUAGGGCCCUUCUUACCUUACGUAGAUAUUGUCAUUAACAAGGACACUGUCACACCUUCUUCCUUGGUGUGGGACCACCGACGACUUUAUCCUUUGAGCGUCCAUAUAGAGAUUGGUGAAGGAAGCCACCAUUUAGAGAGUAUGAAUGUCAAUGCAAAUUUCAGAAAUUUCAUAGAGUAUAGAGUGAAAUCAUUGCAUGUGCAUGACAAUAUCUCAAUCACAGCUAACCUUCCAGCGUCAAGAACAUCAUGGCUGCAUUUAGAAUGGUGUCAUGUUGAGAGGUGCCCCAACCUUCACACUCUCUUCCCAAGUUGGGCUGGAAAUGAAAGCUUUAGUAGAAUAAGGGUAUUUUCUGCAUCUGAUCUCCUGAUGGCCUAUUGCAUCUGGGGUAGAGAUAUUACAUUAGACUUCUACAGCUUUCGAUACCUACAACACGUAUACUUGCACAACUGUCCUAGGCUGGUGUUUGUCCUCCCUAUUUCCUACCCAAUGCCAAACUUAGAGACCAUUCAGAUCGUAUACUGCCAAAAUCUCCAACAUGUUUUCCCACUGGCCACCAAUGAGCACGCUCAAGAGAUAGCAUCUGGUGUCACAUUAGAGAAGCUAAAGCACAUCAGGCUAUAUCAUCUCCACAGGCUAGAGCAGAUAUGCGGGGUCAGAUCACUGGUCGCGCCGGUGCUGGAGACAAUCACCCUCAAGGACUGUUGGGGCCUGAGACGGGUACCAACCGUGUCGCGCCAAGGCCCCAAGCCGGUGGUGGACUGCGAGAAGGAUUGGUGGGAUAGGCUCGAGUGGGACGGCCCCGAGGCCGACCAUGAACCAUCGCUUUUUGAGACGCGCCACUCGGCUUACUACAAGAAGACCCUCCCGAGGGUCUCCGUUCUGAGUUUGUCGGUGUUUGGCUUUUAA